UCCAUCAUAAGGCGCCGACCAGUCACGGCAGGCCCAGGAGCAAAACUCGAUGCCUCGCCGCGAGUCUUUGAGGUAAUCCAGGUAACCCGAAUCCCAGUCCAGGCAUUCUGUGUUAGUCUGCUGCUGGUGCAUCGGGCUUUCAGGGGACAGGGGGCGUGAGCUGGAAGGACCCGACUGAGGAGGCUCCAUGCUGGUGGGGGUAGAGGAACCCCCUCCUCCUGAUCCACCUCCGCUGCUCUGUUGGCGGAUGAAGAAGGCUAAGCGGGACGGGGUGCUGGGUCUGGGUGGGACUGGAGACUCUGAGCUGGGACUGCUUACUGCUGUCGGAUUAAAGUACAGAGAAAAAGUGAUCACAUAAGGGAUACAAAAAACACAUCACACUAAGUUUGUCUUGACUUCAUAUUACAUUAAUGUGUAGACAUUUGCCAGCAGGUGAGCACUUAAUUGAUAUUUUGUGCUCUUGAGUUACUUAAUUGAAUCUGUUGUUUCCACACAGGUGUUUGUUGCUCACCUUUUGCCCAUAAUGCAUUGUCCUCGUCCCGCUCAGCAGAGGUCGCUGGGUUCAGCCGGCAGCACUCUGGGAUCAGCGACAGGAACUUGUCUGCUGACUUUCCGUACAGUGUGUCCAGGAUGGUGUCGUUGUCGUGGCAAUGCAGCAGGAUGAAGCGCAGGAAGGUUUUGAGGAGGGACGUCUCGGACACGCUGCGCAGGAAAAGGUCCAGCGCGGGGCCCAUGACGGGCACGAGGAAGCCGUUGUGGAGGUAGUCCAGCAGCUGGGAGCGGACCAGGGGGUGAGCCACCUGCACCACGGCGUUACAGAACUCCAGCGAGUUCAUGAACAGCACGAUAGACGAGACGCCCAUCCAGUCCUCCCGCCGCAGGGCGUGCCAGUCGUCUCCUCGAACCUCAAUCUUCCUGGGCAGAGAGGAGUAGAGAGCGCUGAGGCCUGUCGCCAACACCUGGGGAGGGGAGGAGAAGAUUCAGAUGAGACAGCUGUGGGUCAGCAGGUGCAGCCCUCGUGUACAAAUAUAGGUUUAUCCUUAAAACAAAAUGGGUUUUCCACUCUCCAGAUUUAAAAAAUGUAAAAGUAAAAAAACUAAAAUAAACCUUAUUCAACACAACCCGAGACAAUAAAUCGUUGAAUCGAUUGUCAUUUUGUCAAUCACACUUUUUAGGGUUUUGUAGGAGCGUAAUUUAAUUAGUCACGAGGGCCUUUGUGAUGGGUAAUAAUUAACAAUGAUCAGACUUUUCAUAGACGAAAUUAUUAAUUUAUUAUCAAAUGAACAAUCAGCAGAUCAAAGUCAGUUGCAACCCUAUUAGAUCCCUAGAUAAGUCCUGUUUAUCCCUUGAUAGAUCCCCAUUAGACAUCAGAAAUGUCACGUUUAUAUCAUGUGAAACACAUUUUGUUUUCACAACAACUACCAACCGCAGGAUAUGUAAUAGCUCACUUGAGCAAAACAACCUGCCAGUAUCCAAUAGACUUCACCCAGACCUUUCAAGUAUUACUAGUCAUCAACAAUUCAAAACUAAAGUAAAAACAAUUAUAUUUGCAGAUUACUCCAGCUAACAAGUAUUGGAUAUUCCCAGUAUUACUUAUAUAUGCAUUUACUUUUUUCUUGCCCUAACUUUUAUUUUUUUCCAGUUUUCAUUAGUUUUCUUUAUACUCCUUAAUUUCUAUACAUUUUUGACGAAAUAAAUGCCAUUAUUAUAUUGAUGCUAAUGAUGAUGCACGGGAGGGCUACUCCCCCCCCAUAAGCUAUGCUUCAGCCCUCCCGCUUCUACUAAUUUUGUUCAUUUGUGUGUAUGAAUUAUACGUUUUUGUUUUUGUAUGAUUUUAGUAGAAUAAAUACAUUUGAGUAUGUAUAGAUAGAAAUGUUGGUACCACUUUACAAUAAGACUACCCUUAUAAAAGGGUUUACGAAUAGUUUGUAAUUCAUUUAUUAAUUAGGUUGUGAACACUUUACAAGUCAUUAAUAAGCUUUUAUAAGA